CUGUUGGCAGGUCCCUCUUUUUAUUUUCGCUGAGAGCUUUCUUUUACUAAAUGCCAUCAUCCUUACCUUUCAAUGUGUCUGCGUGCCUAAUUUUUCCUGGUUGUUAGACAAGAACCCGGAUUUUAGUUGAACUCUGGAGCAAAAAUCCUGCAUCAUUUGUAGGUCAAAAACAAGAGGCCAGGACCUCCCAAGAAAAGCUUUACUAAUGUAAUAGCUUUGGCCAAGUCCACCCAAUAUAUUUUUCUCUCUGCAAAGAGAAACAAGCUAUUGUCUCAUACUAGAUUUCCUCUUCUUCCAUGCCACUGUUAUUCAUGUUCAAAUCCUGGCUGUCCUUCAGGGUCCAAUUCAAAUGGUUAUCGCCAUUUUCUAUUAAUGUCAUUUCUUCCUAUUUUCUACCUUUUGUUAGCUAUGUUAAAGUGUUUCUUUACCAACAUCCCCCAUACAUUGUGUAACACAGUGUCUAUGGCUUACUCAUUUUUGAAUCCUUAUCAUGACCUGACAUAAUGAAGAUUCUUAGUACAUAGUGAUACAUGUAAAUAUAAGUUAAUUAGUACAUGAUAGACUUGAUUUCCAGAAUGAUUUUGUAUAGUUGAAUUGUGUAGUAAGGGGACACAUGUGAAAUGAAGACUUUAGUCAGUAUCAAGAAGAUAUUUUGGGUGACUUCACAUAUCUGCCAAUGAUAAAUCUAGAAACAAUAGGUGCUUGGGUAGGUGAUUUCCUUUUGCCUUCUUUAUCAUUGUUUUCCCAGUAUUUCUUACAUUCAUCUAAUUUCAUUAGAUGCCCAUAUACUUUAUACUGGCUUUUCCUGUGAGGUUCGAACUGGUCCAGUUCAUUUGUUUUCAGAAUUGAUUCAUCUGGAGAGUCAUCUCCUAUCCUCCCAAACAAUGAUAUACCAGUCUGAGGACUGUGUAGAAGGGACUUCUCUUUCUACUCAGUAUGACCAAAAUAAUUCAAUUCUAGUUGUGGUGUGUGAUUUAUGAAUAUUUUGUCCUUUAGUUUGUGUGAGCCAAUUUUGUGCCAUAAGAAUUUUAGCCUCCUUUUCCACAAAAGAGUGAUUUAAUCAAACAAAAGUUGACAAUCAAUGUAGUACAUUUGUGUGACAGUGAUUAAACAUGGUGUUUUUCUCUUAGGUGUCUGAGUAGAUUUGGAAAUGCCCAUUCUGCUCUCAGAGCUCCUCUGCUUUAAGGGUGAUGGACUUCCUGUACCACUACGUAGUGCAUGAGUGCCAGCCACUGGUAUCUAGAACUGUGAUUAGUGAGGAAACACUAGGAGGAACAAACAACCCAACUCCUUUUAUCUAAUCUGUUGACUCCAAAGGGACCUUCUGCUUAUUCCAGUUAAAACUCAAGCUGCAAUUCAAAAUGAAAUCAGUAUCUUUUUUCUCUACUUGUCAGCAAAGCAAGAUGCUACCUUAUAAUUACCACGUAACAAUCAAUCGCAAACAUAGUGGCUUAAAGCAGCUCCUCUUUUAGCCUACAUAUCUGCAAACCGGCAGUUUGGACUGAGCUCAGCUGGAUGUUUUUUCUGAGCUGAUCAUGUAUGUAGGGUCUGCUGCUGGCUGGUUUAGACUGAUGGUGGAUGAGAAAACACAUGAAGAAGAGAGGCAUGAUGGUGGCAGAGUUCUGAAAGAGUCACACAGAAGGCCCUUAAGUUCGUGGCUUGAAAAUAGCAUCCUGUCACUUCUACCACAUUCUAUUUACCAGGCCAGCCCAGAUAAAGAUGUGAAGAAACAGACUCCAUCUCUUGAUGGGAGAAGUUGAAAAUCAAUGGAAAAUGGCAUGGAUAAAGAAAGGAGUGAUGAUUGUGGCCAUAUUUGUAAUGGCCAUAUUUGAUACCCUUUUCAGUUUUCCUAGCCACACUUCUCAUUGGCCAGAAAAAUUAAAUGCAUAUCAACACUGAAGAAAACAGAUCUUGGUUAAAAGCAAUGAUGUAGCUAAUAUCCCAUUCAGGUAAAAGAUUACUUAUAUAGUGUGAGACAGGCAUGAGGCAGAGAAGUGCUUACGGGUUGGUUUCUGCUUUGUUAGCAGAUUUACUUUUAGAUCAUGUACUACUUUGUUGUUACUCUUUUAUUGAGAAAAAAUAACAAAUAUUUCCAAAAUUUUGCAGCAUGCAACUCAGUGCUUCAGUUGGCAUUCAAUCAAAAUUUCCUUGAAAUAAAAAAAGACAAGAGAGAGACUUGGAAUUAUGACUAUUCUACUAGAUUAGCUCCUUCAUGUCAAAAUCUGUCAAGUUUAUGAUUUAUUCAGAUAGCACUUGUUUUUGGUGCAAUAACUAAACUGUUGCUUUAGAGUCUACUACAUUCUCCUCUAUUAUUUGGCAUUUUUCUCUUUAUUAUUUUGUUCAAGUAGGAUAUUGUGCUGAGUUGAACCAUGAAAUGAAUUGUAUUGAGCAACAUCAACAACAUAAGUGUUCUGGGGUGUCA
rnacentral:antisense_RNA from 1 species